rnacentral:tRNA from 1 species
GCGGCUGUGGCGGAACGGUAGACGCGCUACCUUGAGGGGGUAGUGCCCAACGGGCGUGUGAGUUCAAAUCUCAUUAGCCGCACCA